UCGGGAAUUUUGGGCAAUGGGCGAAAGCCUGACCCAGCAACGCCGCGUGAAGGAUGAAGUAUUUCGGUAUGUAAACUUCGAAAGAAUAGGAAGAAUAAAUGACGGUACUAUUUAUAAGGUCCGGCUAACUACGUGCCAGCAGCCGCGGUAAUACGUAGGGACCAAGCGUUGUUCGGAUUUACUGGGCGUAAAGGGCGCGUAGGCGGCAUGACAAGUCACUUGUGAAAUCUCUGGGCUUAACCCAGAACGGCCAAGUGAUACUGUCGCGCUAGAGGAGUGGCGGAGAAAGCGGAAUUCCACGUGUAGCGGUGAAAUGCGUAGAUAUGUGGAAGAACACCGGUGGCGAAAGCGGCCUUCUAGCUUAUACCUGACGCUGAGGCGCGAGAGCAAGGGGAGCAAACAGGAUUAGAUACCCCCGUAGUCCCUGAGCGGGCUGGCAAGGCGCAU
rnacentral:rRNA from 1 species